rnacentral:rRNA from 1 species
GAUGAACGCUAGCGACAGGCCUAACACAUGCAAGUCGAGGGGCAUCGGGACGUAGCAAUACGUUGCCGGCGACCGGCGGAUGGGUGAGUAACGCGUAUGCAACCUACCCGUAGCAGGGGGAUAGCCCGUUGAAAGACGGAUUAAUACCCCGUAACACAGGGGCUCCGCAUGGAGAUUAUUGUUAAAGGGUCAUUUCUUUUCAGGGGAUGGUCCGGCUGCGGAUGGGCAUGCGUUCCAUUAGGUAGUUGGUGUAGGUAACUGCUCACCAAGCCGACGAUGGAUAGGGGAACUGAGAGGUUGGUCCCCCACACUGGUACUGAGACACGGACCAGACUCCUACGGGAGGCAGCAGUGAGGAAUUUUGGUCAAUGGACGCAAGUCUGAACCAGCCAUGUCGCGUGAAGGAGGACGGCCCUAAGGGUUGUAAACUUCUUUUGCAGUGGAAUAAAGUUUGCCACGUGUUGGCGAUUUGCAAGUACGCUGCGAAUAAGGAUCGGCUAACUCCGUG